AUAAAGACUGAGAGCAUAUCUCAGAGACUGAAGAUCUGGGCUUUUCUCCAAGAAAUUCUUUUUCAGGCCAUUUCCUCCUGCAUGAAAGUAUUGCUACAAAGAAAAAAAAAUAAGCCGAGGCAUUUAGAGAGAAGUAUUGGAAGACAGAAUUUAUUACUCUAAUAGAGAAGCUCAAAUGGAAUAAUACAAUUUGAUCAAUGCAAGAUACAAAAAAAUGGUUCCAUCAUUUUCCCAUUGCUAAGUUAUUAACGUCUAAUUCAGGUCCCUAGACAUCUCUGAAAUGACACUCAACAUCACAGACCUCAUAUCCCAGAAGGCCUAAGCCUUUAUCUCUUAUGCAAGAUUUUAAACAAAUGAGAUCAUGCUGAUGUAGCAGUCAGAAUCCUUAUAGAAUGACAGGUUUAGGUAACAAUUAUCAACCUGGUUAUUGACUUCUGUUUCUUGAAUAUGAGAAAAAUACCAAGGGUUGUCAAAAUUUCACAGGGAAGGUAGCUUCCGGCCACAUAUUUUCCAGAUACCAGUUUGAGAUUCUAGGUCAGGUGUCUGCCACUCCAUCUGCCCCAUCCUCUAAUCACACAGUGGUGCAGAUAUAGGCCAACCUGACGAAGCAGAGUGGUCCUUGGAAAUCCAACACCCCUUGAACUUUGUGUCUGAUAAAUAUAAUAAUACUUUUUUUUGCUAUUUUUAUUCAACCAAACUCAAAAUUUUCCAAUAUUUAUAAAUAAGAUAAUAGAGAAGAUAUAUGGUAAUUGACAAUAAAUAUGGUCACUGAGGGAUGUUAGCAUUUUUCAUACUACAAGUGUUAUGCACAGACAGACAUCUCUUGGAAAUGCAGACUGUCUAGAGAUAUAUGAUAGAACUAAGGAUGUUUUUUUCUACCUGUUUAUAAAUGAUAAUAGAUUUAUAACAUUCUAUUAAGUUUAGAUAAACGGUUCUCUUUCUCUCUUCCCGUACCAACAAUGCUAGAGGAAACAAAGCACUCACUAGUAACUGUGGCUCACUGUGAUCUAUAAUUAGCACAGAACGAAAUAUGUCAAAGAAGCUCAAGAAAUUAUUCAGAGACGCUCUCCUAAAUGGCAGUCAGCCCCAAGAGGAAGAGGUGCUUACAGUGGUGGAGAAAGACGUGGAACAGCUGGCUUCUGAAUAUCCUUCAGUCUUACUGGGAAUGAAGUGGAUCAUCAAUCAGACUAAUCAACAUUGGACUUGGCCUACAGCUUUGCUGGUUUAUAGCUUCCAAUGGGGAAAAGUCACUGCUGCAUCUUACUCAUUUUUUUUUCUGUAUUAAAAUAAAAGGCCCUGAUUGUGUCAGUAAAUUUUUUUGCUAAGAAUUGUUGAUAAAACAAAAAAAAAAUUCAUCCAUAAUAGUUCAAAUUAACCACUCAUAAAUAAUCAGUUUCAAGUAUGUCUCAGAAUCUUAUAACUUUUAUUACAAAAUCAUUACUUAUAGUUUUUUAUUAAAACACUCAAAUCUUUGUGGAUUUUACCUCUUGAAAUUUAUGGUACAUUUUCUCAUUACUUAUUUAAAUGUAACCUGUAAUUGAGAUCCUUUUUUGUGGGAGGAAAUUGAUUUCUAUCAAUGAUUUACAGCAUACAAAAACAAACUGUAGGAAUUUCUCUUUUUGGUAGAUUUCAACUAAGCUCUUUUUUCCUUAGCUUUUCUGAAUUUGCCUUCAUCUCCUUAUUAUUUACUAAGGAGAUGGGCCCAAGUGAUAGGUCAUGAAGAUAAAGUGAAAACAUGUUCACUUAGUUUAUAUUUUGACAGGAAGUAAAAACAUCCUAAAUAUUUGAUCAAUUUAAAAUGUAUUAUUGGCAGGAAUAGUUAUUUACUUACUUUACUGAUAAUGUAUUUGUUUAAUAAGUCUAAAUUUCCUUUCUCUGUAUGCCAUUUUAGUUCUGACAUGUUCAAUUCAGCUCAUGGUUUUAAAAUAACAUCUGGAUAGGAGUUCCUAAUGUAUCAUGUCUCAAUUUUACACUGAAAACGCAUAAGUGAACACAGAAAAUUAUGAAUACUUCCAUGCUCGCUAAAAAGUAAAACCAAUCAAUAACCAUGGCUAGGACCUAGGGGAAAUUUUCAAAACAACUGGAUUUAUAAAACUGCAAUACAAUGACCCAUUCAGAUGUGUUUGAGCACCUAAGACCAUGUCUCCCACUAUAAUCCUGACUCUUGCUGUUCAUCUCUUCCUCACCUCCAGUUGCUUGCCAGGUAUGAA
rnacentral:lncRNA from 10 species